rnacentral:rRNA from 1 species
CCUACGGGAGACUGCAGUGGGGAAUAUUGGGCAAUGGAGGCAACUCUGACCCAGCAACGCCGCGUGAAUGAUGAAGGUCUUCGGAUUGUAAAGCUCUGUGAUGGGGGAUGAACACAAUGACGGUACCCCAAUAGCAAGCCCCGGCUAACUACGUGCCAGCAGCCGCGGUAAUCCGUAGGUGGCAAGCGUUAUCCGGAAUGACUGGGCGUAAAGGGUGCGUAGGGGGUUUAGUAAGUUGGCGGUGUAAUUCCGGGGCUCAACCCCGGCGCUACCGCCAAAACUAGUAGACUUGAGUGCAGGAGAGGUAAGUGGAAUUCCUAGUGUAGCGGUGAAAUGCGUAGAUAUUAGGAGGAACAUCAGGGGCGAAGGCGACUUACUGGACUGUAACUGACGCUGAGGCACGAAAGCGUGGGGAGCAAACAGGAUUAGAUACCCUUGUAGUC